rnacentral:rRNA from 1 species
AACGAACGCUGGCGGCAUGCCUAACACAUGCAAGUCGAACGAGACCUUCGGGUCUAGUGGCGCACGGGUGCGUAACGCGUGGGAACCUGCCCUUAGGUUCGGAAUAACUCCCCGAAAGGGGUGCUAAUACCGGAUAAUGUCUUCGGACCAAAGAUUUAUCGCCUUUGGAUGGGCCCGCGUUGGAUUAGCUAGUUGGUAGGGUAAAAGCCUACCAAGGCGACGAUCCAUAGCUGGUCUGAGAGGAUGAUCAGCCACACUGGGACUGAGACACGGCCCAGACUCCUACGGGAAGCAGCAGUGGGGAAUAUUGGACAAUGGGCGAAAGCCUGAUCCAGCAAUGCCGCGUGGGUGAUGAAGGCCUUAGGGUUGUAAAGCUCUUUUACCCGGGAUGAUAAUGACAGUACCGGGAGAAUAAGCUCCGGCUAACUCCGUG